rnacentral:snRNA from 1 species
GCAGACCCACGGCCUUUUCGCUAAGAUUAAGUGUAGUAUCUGUUCUUAUUAUUUUAAUAUUUAAUAUAUGGGCUAUGUGCCCACAAUGAUAUUAAAUUUACUUUUUAUGAGGAGGGCUCACCACAGUAGCUUGCUACUGGGCCCUCGUAUGUCGCCCAGCCGUUGCGCCUGAGGACCUUUUUUUU